rnacentral:rRNA from 1 species
GUCCACGCUGUAAACGAUGGGUGCUAGGCGUCGGGGGAGCGACCCUCCCGGUGCCGUCGCUAACGCAAUAAGCACCCCGCCUGGGGAGUACGGCCGCAAGGUUGAAACUCAAAGGAAUUGACGGGGCCCGCACAAGCGGUGGAGCAUGUGGUUUAAUUCGAUGCAACGCGAAGAACCUUACCUGGGCUUGACAUGCACGUGAAAGCCGGUGGAAACACCGGUCCUCCUUCGGGACGCGUGCACAGGUGCUGCAUGGCUGUCGU